rnacentral:rRNA from 1 species
GAUGAACGCUGGCGGCGUGCCUAAUACAUGCAAGUCGAGCGAACGGACGAGAAGCUUGCUUCUCUGAUGUUAGCGGCGGACGGGUGAGUAACACGUGGAUAACCUACCUAUAUGGCUGGGAUAACUUCGGGAAACCGGAGCUAAUACCGGCUGAUAUUUUGAACCGCAUGGUUCAAAAGUGAAAGACGGUCUUGCUGUCACUUAUAGAUGGAUCCGCGCUGCAUUAGCUAGUUGGUAAGGUAACGGCUUACCAAGGCAACGAUGCAUAGCCGACCUGAGAGGGUGAGCGUCGACACUGGAACUGAGACUCGGACCAGACUCCUACGGGAGGCAGCAGUAGGGAAUGUGGCGCAAUGGGCGAAAGCGUGAGGGAGCAACACCGAGGGAGUGAUGAAGGUCUUCGGAUCGGAAAACUGUGUUAUUAGGGAAGAACAUAUGUGUAAGUAACUGUGCACAGCUUGACGGUACCGAGUCAGAAAGCCACGGCUAACUACGUG